CUGUGGCUGAGAGGUAAAGCGUUUGGCUUCUGAACAGGGGUCCCAGGCUCGAAUCCUGGUGG
rnacentral:tRNA from 1 species